rnacentral:lncRNA from 1 species
AAGGUGUUCUUGGACGGCCUGAUUCAACUCUGGACCCUGUAGAGGUUCUCUUCUGCUCCUAAGGCCAGAUUGUUCCGGGCUUCUGCUUCACAUGAGUUGCCUAGCCCCUCUAAUUGUUCUGGUGGCACAGAAAAUGCUAGAAGAUGCAGGUGCUGUACAAGGAAAGAGUUAAACCAGCUCAGCUGUCCACCUGCUGAAGAAGUCCAAGAACUUGAAAG